GACGAACCGUGCGAACGUUGUUCGGAAUCACUGGGCUUAAAGGGCGCGUAGGUGGGUUGCCAAGUCCGGGGUGAAAGCCUCCAGCUUAACUGGAGAAGUGCCUUGGAUACUGGUGAUCUCGAGGGAGGUAGGGGCAUGUGGAACUUCCGGUGGAGCGGUGAAAUGCGUAGAUAUCGGAAGGAACGCCGGUGGCGAAAGCGACGUGCUGGACCUCUUCUGACGCUGAGGCGCGAAAGCUAGGGGAGCAAACGGG
rnacentral:rRNA from 1 species